rnacentral:rRNA from 1 species
AACGAACGCUGGCGGCAGGCUUAACACAUGCAAGUCGAGCGCAACGGCCGUGGUUAUCGGCGGAGGUGGGGGGAACGCGGGGGAAGGAGCACGCUUCUACGGUACAGCCGCGGGAAACUUAAAUUAAGGCCGCAGACGCCCGUAACGGGUAAGAGCUGUCGGAGGAGGGUCGGCGCGGGUUGGAUUAGGUGGUUGGGGGGGUAACCGCCUACCAAGCCGACGAUCGUGAGCUGGUGUGAGAGGAUGAUCAGCCACACUGGGACUGAGGCACGGCCCAGACUCGUACGGGAGGCGGCGGUGGGGAAUCUUGGGGAAUGGGGGCAACCCUGAGCCAGCCAUGCCGCGUGAUCGAGGAAGGCCUUAGGGUUGUAAAGAUCUUUCAGCUGGGAAGAUAAUGACGGUACCAGCAGAAGAAGCCCCGGCUAACUCCGUG